rnacentral:siRNA from 1 species
UGGGACUCCAACUCUUUGGU